rnacentral:rRNA from 1 species
UACGUAGGGACCAAGCGUUGUCCGGAAUCAUUGGGCGUAAAGAGCGUGUAGGCGGCUUGUUAAGUCUUGCGUGAAAUCUCGGGGCUCAACCCCGAGCGGUCGUGAGAAACUGGCAGGCUAGAGUGCGGGAGAGGAGAGUGGAAUUCCUGGUGUAGCGGUGAAAUGCGCAGAUAUCAGGAGGAACACCAAUGGCGAAGGCAGAUCUCUAGGCCGUAACUGACGCUGAGGAGCGAAAGCAUGGGGAGCGAACAGG